UGCAUUCACUACUGUAAGUCGCUCUGGAUAAGAGCGUCUUCUAAGAGCGUCUGCUAAAUGACUAAAA
rfam:Salmo salar isolate Sally breed double haploid chromosome ssa10, whole genome shotgun sequence.